rnacentral:rRNA from 1 species
UACGUAGGGUGCGAGCGUUGUCCGGAAUUACUGGGCGUAAAGAGCUCGUAGGUGGUUUGUCGCGUUGUUCGUGAAAACUCACAGCUCAACUGUGGGCGUGCGGGCGAUACGGGCAGACUAGAGUACUGCAGGGGAGACUGGAAUUCCUGGUGUAGCGGUGGAAUGCGCAGAUAUCAGGAGGAACACCGGUGGCGAAGGCGGGUCUCUGGGCCGAUACUGACGCUGAGGUGCGAAAGCGUGGGGAGCAAACAGG